GAUGAACGCUGGCGGCGUGCUUAACACAUGCAAGUCGAGCGGGAAAUCUUUCAUUGAGACUUCGGUGGAUUUGAUUUAUUUCUAGUGGCGGACGGGUGAGUAACGCGUGGGUAACCUGCCUUAUACAGGGGGAUAACAGUCAGAAAUGGCUGCUAAUACCGCAUAAGCGCACAGAGCUGCAUGGCUCAGUGUGAAAAACUCCGGUGGUAUAAGAUGGACCCGCGUUGGAUUAGCUAGUUGGUGGGGUAACGGCCCACCAAGGCGACGAUCCAUAGCCGGCCUGAGAGGGUGAACGGCCACAUUGGGACUGAGACACGGCCCAGACUCCUACGGGAGGCAGCAGUGGGGAAUAUUGCACAAUGGGGGAAACCCUGAUGCAGCGACGCCGCGUGAAGGAAGAAGUAUCUCGGUAUGUAAACUUCUAUCAGCAGGGAAGAUAGUGACGGUACCUGACUAAGAAGCCCCGGCUAACUACGUG
rnacentral:rRNA from 1 species